CGCCUGCAUAGCUAAUGAGAUGCAAAUGAGCAGCCCCCCAAUCUGGCGAGAGCGGCCACAAAGGAACCACUUUUCCAAGCCCUCCUCUCAAUGGAUCGCCAAAUGGGGACGGUCACACCCAGACACACACGACCGACCUCUUCCACUCACGUCUGAACGUUAUAAGCGCAGGAGAAACUCAGGCUCCCGCAGGAAAACAAGCCGAGACCCAGAACGUCUUAUAAGGUGUAAAUGUAACAGGCACGUUUUUGUUUUGUUUUUUAAAGUACAUUCUUGGCAACGACAUCUAUCCGCCGCUAAGGAUAUCCUUCAACCGAGGGAAGGAACCAGAUCAGCGUUACGCCCGGCUGAAACCGAAUACCUUGAACCUGGCACGUGGGGCCACUGUGAUAUUUUUGAGGGUUUAUAAAUGCCACCAUCUGGAGGAGGGAGGAGAGAGAGCGAGACAAUCGCGGCGAGCAAAGUUGUGGGGUGUGUUCUUUUAAAGUUCCCUUCAACGUGGCUACCUGUGUGAGAGGUGUUCUUGGGGGAGCAAACCGGGGGGGGGGGCGGGGGCGGCGGGAAAUAAAUUUCGAGGACGCGGCAGGACCUCCUGGAUGGGUUUAAGUUCCCCAAAGUAUCGAGAGCACUUCGGAAUCUGCGCGCUCCCUUUGCUGAUCAUUAUGCGGCACACACCCCCGAGACUCUCAUGCUCAAACAAUCCGGGAAAGGCCCAUGUGUUAAGUUCCAGGCGGGGGAGAUGCGGGGGGGGGGGAGCUUGGCUGGGUAAACAGUCCUGCUUUUUAAAGACCCAAAAAGAAACACACACCCCUCCUCCCUUCCCCUGGAUUCUUGGGGAACUGCAUGGAACGGCUCCACUUCCCCUAGGAUGAUGAUGAUGAUGAUGAAGAUGAUCGCCAUUCCUCUUUCACUCUGUCUCUCUGCCUUUUUCCUCCUUGAAGCUUAGUUUUUCAUUUUUUUUGAAGGAAAAAAAGUGAGUUUGGUGUGUGUCGUUCGCGUGGCUGUCAUUAAGGCAGUUUGUUAUUAUGUGAGGCCUGCAUCAGUUGGCCCUUUGUGCUCUCAGCUGUAUGGUAAUGUAGGCAGCACCUGCUCCUUGCACAAUACAAACGAGAGAAAGAGCUCCCCUCGGCGCACGCUACUGCCUCUACAACAAUGUGCACACAUUUUUAAAGAAAUCCCUUCCAGCCUUCCUUCCCCUCCCUACCUAAAAAAAAAAAAAACUUUAUGCCAACCGUCACCUUAUUAUUAUUUUUUACACAUCCAUCAGACACUGGAGCUUUUGUGUUGGUUAACACACACACGGGGGAUGCUGCUGCCGCCGCUGAUAGAGCAAGUCUUAUUAGUCUCCCUUGCUUCCUGAUGGUAGAAGCGUAGGAUUUGAACACACAAAGUUUGAAGGUGACUAAUUUCGACUUGAUGAGGAAAGGGAGGGGGCCCGAGGAGACAGAGAAGGCGACUCCCCCCCCCCACUCCACUCUCCCCGCCUUCCUUGGUUUGGGCCUUGUUACAAAACACCUCUGUAAACAAGCAAACAGCAAAGGCUAGCCUGGUGUGCUUCAUUGGGAUGCAAGGUGUAACUGUCUGUGUAAAUGUCCUUUGAAUUGCAACAGAGCUUUUCAGGGGGCUGCUUAAGCUGGUGGGCAAGGGAGAGUAUUGGGCCACAAUGAGUGCCCUGUAGGUAUGGCUUGCUCAUUCUUCUUUAUGGCCACUUUGGAAGCGUGUUUUUGCAGGAGGAAAUGUGACUUUCAUUGAAGCAGAUGUCUUGAUCAGAAAUUAUUUUACCAUGGAGGGAAGUGGGGGAGGGGGCACGAAAGGAGUGGGGGGGACACACACGAUCUAAAACACUUCUUCAAGUUACUGGUGAAGGUCAAUUAAAAGAAAAUCACUAUCUGAAUGUGCAUUGAAGAUGAGUCUGUCAUUCCAAGCCGUUGACGUUGCCAUUAAACCUGGAGACUUCCAACUGAA